CAGAGGGGGAUAACGUUUGGAAACGAACGCUAAUACCGCAUGAUAUUAUCUUAUCGCAUGAUAGGAUGAUCAAAGGAGUGAUCCGCUGAAAGAUGGGCUCGCGUCCGAUUAGGUAGUUGGUGAGGUAACGGCCCACCAAGCCGACGAUCGGUAGCCGGACUGAGAGGUUGGACGGCCACAUUGGGACUGAGACACGGCCCAGACUCCUACGGGAGGCAGCAGUAAGGGAUAUUGGUCAAUGGGGGAAACCUUGAACCAGCAACGCCGCGUGAGGGAAGACGGUUUUCGGAUUGUAAACCUCUGUCCUCUGUGAAGAUGAUGACGGUAGCAGAGGAGGAAGCUCCGGCUAACUACGUGCCAGCAGCCGCGGUAAUACGUAGGGAGCGAGCGUUGUCCGGAUUUACUGGGUGUAAAGGGUGCGUAGGCGGCUAUGCAAGUCAGUAGUGAAAUCCAUGGGCUUAACCCAUGAACUGCUAUUGAAACUGCACAGCUUGAGUGAAGUAGAGGUAGGCGGAAUUCCCGGUGUAGCGGUGAAAUGCGUAGAGAUCGGGAGGAACACCAGUGGCGAAGGCGGCCUACUGGGCUUUAACUGACGCUGAGGCACGAAAGCGUGGGUAGCAAACAGGAUUAGAUACCCUGGUAGUCCACGCUGUAAACGAUGAUUACUAGGUGUGGGGGGACUGAACCCUUCCGUGCCGGAGU
rnacentral:rRNA from 1 species